rnacentral:rRNA from 1 species
CUUAGUUAAUCCUACCAGUAGUCAUAUACUUGUCUCAAAGAUUAAGCCAUGCAUGCAUAAAUAUAAACUAAUUUAGACUAUGAAACUAUGAAUGGCUCAUUAAAUUAGUUAUGGUUUGUUUGAUGGUAUCUACUACUUGGAUAAUCGUAAUAAUUUUAGAACUAGUACAUGCAACAAACCUUGACUUCUAGAAGGGAUGCAUUUAUUAAAUAAAAGGUUGAUACGGGCUUUACCUGUUGCUUCAAUAAUUCAUGAUAACUCAACGGAUCAUACGAUCUUUAUGUUAGUGAAGCAUCAUUCAAAUUUUUACCUUAUCAUCUUUCGAUGGUAGGAUAUUAGCCUACUAUGGUGGUGACAAGUGAUGAAGAAUUAGGGUUUGAUUCUAGAGAGGGACCCUAAGAAAUAGUAACAUCCAAAUAAGGUAGUAGGCACGUAAAUUACUUAAUCUUAACACGAAGAGGUAGUGACAAUAAAUUAUAAUACUGAGCUUUAUGAGUCUAGUAAUUAGAAUGAGUGAAAUCUAAAUCCCUUAAUGUGAAUCCAUUGAAGGGCAAAUCUGGUGUCAGCAGCUACAGUAAUUCUAGCUUCAAUAAGAUAUUUAAGUUAUUACAGUUCAAUAGCUCAUUAUUAGAACUAAGGUUGGGUCAUCCGAUCUGCCUCAUAAUAAGCAUUAGUUUACUUAUCCUUACUGCCAAUGAUGUGUUCCUAGCUUUUACUAGCCAGAUCAUUCCUCUAGCACUAUUACUUUAAAGAAAUUAGAGUGCUCAACGUAAGCCUACACUUGUAUACAUUAGCAUGGAUAACAUCAUAAGAUUUUAGUCUGAUUAUAUUAGCUUUCAGGAUCAGAGUAAUGAUUAACAGAGACAGUGAGGGCAUUCAUCUUUCAUAGUCGGAGGUGAAAUUUUUAGAUUAUGAAAGAUGAAUAACUACAAAAGCAUUUGUCAAAGAUGUUUUCAUUAAUUAAAAAUGAAAGUUUUGGGCUCAAAGACAAUUAGAUACUGUCCUAAUCUCAACCAUAAAUGAUGCCAAUCAGGGAUCAAAGAAUGUUACUUUUAAGUCUACUCUGGCACCUUAUGAGAAAUUAAAGUCUUUGGGUUUCGGGGGGAGUAUAGUUGCAAGGUUGAAACUUAAAGGAAUUGAUAGAAAGGUGCCACCAAGAGUAGAGCCUGUGGCUUAAUUUGACUCAACACAAAAAAAAUUACUGGAUCCAAACAUAGUAAAGAUUGAUAGAUUGAGAGCUCUUUCUUGAUUCUAUGGGUGGUGGUGCAUGGCCAUUUUAAGUUAAUGGAGUGAUUUGUCUUAUUAAUUUUGUUAAUGAACAAGACAUCAACUUGCUAACUAGCUACAUAGGUUUGAUCCCUCGUGGCUAGCUUUUUAGAAGGAUUGUGGCCAUUUAGGCUAAGAAAGUUUAAGGCAAAAACAUGUUUGUGAUGCCCUUAAAUGUUUUGAGGCACACGUGCGCUACAUUGAUAUAUUAAACGAGUCUAUGGCCUUGGUCGAUAGGCUAGGUAAUCUUUGAAAUUUCAUUGUAAUAAGGAUAGAUAAUUGCAAUUGUUGGUUUUUAAUGAGAAAUUCCUAGUAAGCAUGAGUCAUUAGCUCACAUUGACUAUGUCUCUAUCGUUGUACACACCAUCCAUUGCUCAUACUGAUUGAAUGGUCUAGUGAAGUGUUUGAAUCAUGGCAACAUCAAUGGUUCACUACCCAUAACUUUGCGAAAAGUCCAUUGAAGCCUAUCAUUUAGAGGAAGGCGAAGUUGUAACAAGUUUUUCGUAGGUGAACCUAUGAAAG